GUGGGAAGAAGCUAAGACUUAGCAGUGGCUAAUGGAGAGCUGUGAUGAGGUGGGAAUUAGGAGUGGGAAUGUCAUCACACCAAAUGGGAUCCCUUGUAUUUAUGUGAACAUUUUCAAACUACUAUGCCCUUAUUUUCUCAUUUCAUUCUCCCGUGGCUGAAAACUACACUGGAUAUGACCCAGUUUCCUGGAGACCUAUAGACAAAUUUGACCCCUGUUAUUAUACAUCUUACAGGAGACCCAGGCUUGCCUGUCCAUUUUGACAGAUGGGCAUGAGGUCCUGCUGGCAGACUGGCAGACAGAGCAGACAACAGUUUUUCAUAUGUGACUGUGGGGAGGCUUCCCUCAAACCCAGUCCUGGGAAAUUCAGGCCGAACACAACUCACUCUGUCGGGUGCACAGCAUCAAGGAGCCCUUUUGGGUCUCACGAUGUUCUGAACUAGUUUUCUUCAGCCUCCUUCCCAAGCUACCCCAUGCUUUCAUUUCCUUACCUGUUUAGGAUUUCAUCUUCCCUGAAGUGUUUUAAGUUUUACAUCAACACAAAGAAAACCUGCACCCAUUUAGCCUGUGAUGGAGCUUUGAAUUACUGCACAAAAGCUAAAGUAUCCGACAAUAUGCUGACCAUCCUCCCUCUGAUGAAAAGGACAAGCUGGCCCAUCUCCCUGGAAGUUUCUUCCCUCUCCAUUUAAAUCACUCUUCCCUCUCAUUAAAUUACUCUUUCA
rnacentral:lncRNA from 1 species